rnacentral:rRNA from 1 species
AUUGAACGCUGGCGGCAGGCCUAACACAUGCAAGUCGAGCGGUAGAGAGGUGCUUGCACCUCUUGAGAGCGGCGGACGGGUGAGUAAUGCCUAGGAAUCUGCCUGGUAGUGGGGGAUAACGCUCGGAAACGGACGCUAAUACCGCAUACGUCCUACGGGAGAAAGCAGGGGACCUUCGGGCCUUGCGCUAUCAGAUGAGCCUAGGUCGGAUUAGCUAGUUGGUGAGGUAAUGGCUAACCAAGGCGACGAUCCGGAACUGGUCUGAGAGGAUGAUCAGUCAAACUGGAACUGAGACACGGUCCAGACUCCUACGGGAGGCAGCAGUGGGGAAUAUUGGACAAUGGGCGGAAGCCUGAUCCAGCCAUGCCGCGUGUGUGAAGAAGGUCUUCGGAUUGUAAAGCACUUUAAGUUGGGAGGAAGGGUCGUUACCUAAUACGUGACGAUUUUGACGUUACCGACAGAAUAAGCACCGGCUAACUCUGUGCCAGCCGCCGCCGUAAGAC